GAGCACGUAGGGGGUUUGUAAGUCAGAUGUGAAAGCCUUCUGUUCAACGGGAGAAUUGCAUCUGAAACUGCUAAUCUUGAGUAUAGGAGGGGAGAAUGGAACUUUUGGUGGAGCGGUGAAAUGCGUAGAUAUCAGAAGGAACGUCGGCGGCGAAAGCGAUUCUCUGGCCUAUUACUGACACUCAGUGUGCGAAAGCUAGGGGAGCAAACGGGAUAGAUACCCCGGUAGCAGGCUAU
rnacentral:rRNA from 1 species